AAUUGGAAUGACUACAAUUUAAAUCCUUUAAGAAGGAUCCAUUGGAGGGCAAGUCUGGUGCCAGCAGCCGCGGUAAUUCCAGCUCCAAUAGCGUAUAUUAAAGUUGCUGCAGUUAAAAAGCUCGUAGUUGGAUCUCAGUUACGGGCAGGUGGUUCACUUUACAGUGCUACUACCUGAACCGAACCUAUUGCUGGAUCUCUUGGGUGCCCUUCACUGGGUGCCCCUUGAGACCAGAGCGUUUACUUUGAGAAAAUUAGAGUGCUCAAAGCAGGCGAAUGCUUGAAUAGUUGUGCAUGGAAUAAUGAAAUAUGGCCUCGGUACUGUUUUGUUGGUUCACGGUGCUCGAGGUAAUGGUUGAAAGGGACUGACGGGGGCAUUCGUAUUGCGACGUUAGAGGUGAAAUUCUUAGAUCGUCGCAAGACGGACUACUGCGAAAGCAUUUGCCAAGAAUGUCUUCAUUAAUCAAGAACGAAAGUCAGAGGUUCGAAGGCGAUCAGAUACCGCCCUAGUUCUGACCUUAAACGAUGCUAACUGGCGAUCCAGUGGGGGUAUUUAAAAUGACCUGCUGGGCAGCUUCUGGGAAACCAAAGUUUUUGGGUUCCGGGGGAAGUAUGGUUGCAAAGCUGGAACUUAAAGGAAUUGACGGAAGGGCACCACCAGGAGUGGAGCCUGUGGCUUAAUUUGACUCAACACGGGAAC
rnacentral:rRNA from 1 species